AUAUUUACCUGACACGUGAAAUAACCUGAUCAAGAAUGUGCUUUUCCCAGACAAUGCUUGUCCAUUGCACUGUAUAUAUGCUGGCUUCUGCCAUUUCCUCAAGAGUGGAAAACUAGACUGCAUGAUUUGAGGGAGUGGGUACUGUGUUCACAGAGAAUUCCA